GACGAACGCUGGCGGCGUGCCUAAUACAUGCAAGUCGAGCGGAUCUUCAUUAGCUUGCUUUUGAAGAUCAGCGGCGGACGGGUGAGUAACACGUGGGCAACCUGCCUGUAAGGCUGGGAUAACUUCGGGAAACCGGAGCUAAUACCGGAUAAUCCUUUUCCUCUCAUGAGGAAAAGCUGAAAGACGGUUUCGGCUGUCACUUACAGAUGGGCCCGCGGCGCAUUAGCUAGUUGGUGAGGUAACGGCUCACCAAGGCGACGAUGCGUAGCCGACCUGAGAGGGGGAUCGGCCACACUGGGACUGAGACACGGCCCAGACUCCUACGGGAGGCAGCAGUAGGGAAUCUUCCGCAAUGGACGAAAGUCUGACGGAGCAACGCCGCGUGAGCGAUGAAGGCCUUCGGGUCGUAAAGCUCUGUUGUCAGGGAAGAACAAGUACCGGAGUAACUGCCGGUACCUUGACGGUACCUGACCAGAAAGCCACGGCUAACUACGUGCCAGCCGCCGCAGUAAAAC
rnacentral:rRNA from 1 species